UACGAAGGGGGCAAGCGUUGUCCGGAUUUAUUGGGCGUAAAGAGCGUGUAGGCGGCCAGGUAGGUCGGUUGUGAAAACUAGAGGCUUAACCUCUAGACGUCGACCGAAACCAUCUGGCUAGAGUCCGGAAGAGGAGAGUGGAAUUCCUGGUGUAGCGGUGAAAUGCGCAGAUAUCAGGAAGAACACCCGUGGCGAAAGCGGCUCUCUGGGACGGUACUGACGCUGAGACGCGAAAGCGUGGGGAGCGAACAGG
rnacentral:rRNA from 1 species